rnacentral:rRNA from 1 species
UACGGAGGGUGCGAGCGUUGUCCGGAAUCAUUGGGCGUAAAGGGCGCGUAGGUGGCGGGACAAGCGUGCGGUGAAAGCUCGGGGCUCAACCCCGAGUCGGCCGUGCGAACUGUUUUGCUGGAGCACUGUAGAGGCAGGCGGAAUUCCGGGUGUAGCGGUGGAAUGCGUAGAGAUCCGGAAGAACACCGGUGGCGAAGGCAGCUCGCUGGGACGUAACUGACGCUGAGGAGCGAAAGCGUGGGUAGCAAACAGG